AAACUGCUGAAAGUUCUUUCUACCGAGAAUGAAUAAUCCUCAACCAGGUUUUCGAAUACAAUGGUCUUUAUUAACAAGUGCGAGUUUGCGCCUUUAUAACUAGGACCAGGACAACUUAACUCCUGUGUUUCUUUUCCUUUGGCGUAUAUACCUUUGUCAAAACUGUGAUCCCUGCUACUUGGGAGGCUGAGACACAAGAAUUGCUUGAAUCCAGGAGGCGGAGGUUGCAGUGAACCAAGAUCAUGCCACUGAACUCCAGCCUGGGUGACAGAGCAAGAGUCUGUCUCAAAAAAAAAAAAAAGAAAAGAAAAAGAUAUUGCUUAGAAAAGUAACUUGAGUCCUGUUGAGCCUAAGUAAAGGACAAUAAUGGAAGUUUCUAGUCUGCAAAAUAUGAAGAUGCCCCUCAGAGACACAGCUGUGGGUGCCUCUCACAAGACAGAUGUUCAGGAAAACUGGGCUGUUGCUCUGGAAUUUUCAAUGAGUUAUUUUACUUGUUUUUGCCUCAGUUUACAGAAAAUAAACUGGCAACAAUAUCUCCUUGUUAUUGUGAGGAUAAAAUAAAAG
rnacentral:lncRNA from 10 species